UACGGGGGGGGCAAGCGUUGUUCGGAAUUACUGGGCGUAAAGGGCUCGUAGGCGGCCAACUAAGACAGACGUGAAAUCCCCAGGCUCAACCUGGGAACUGCGUCUGAUACUGGAUGGCUUGAAUCCGGGAGAGGGAUGCAGAAUUCCAGGUGUAGCGGUGAAAUGCGUAGAUAUCUGGAGGAAUACCGGUGGCGAAGGCGGCAUCCUGGACCGGCAUUGACGCUGAGGAGCGAAAGCUAGGGGAGCAAACAGG
rnacentral:rRNA from 1 species